rnacentral:rRNA from 1 species
CAAGUCGAACGGGCUGGGGGCAACUCCGGUCAGUGGCGAACGGGUGAGUAAUACAUCGGAACGUACCUCGUAGUGGGGGAUAACUCGGCGAAAGCCGUGCUAAUACCGCAUAUGCUCUACGGAGGAAAGCAGGGGACCGCAAGGCCUUGUGCUAUGGGAGCGGCCGAUGUCCGAUUAGCUAGUUGGUGGGGUAAUGGCCCACCAAGGCGACGAUCGGUAGCUGGUCUGAGAGGAUGAUCAGCCACACUGGGACUGAGACACGGCCCAGACUCCCACGGGAGGCAGCAGUGGGGAAUUUUGGACAAUGGGGGCAACCCUGAUCCAGCCAUGCCGCGUGCGGGAAGAAGGCCUUCGGGUUGUAAACCGCUUUUGGUCGGGAAGAAAAGGCGUCAGCUAAUACCUGGCGUUCUUGACGGUACCGGCAGAAUAAGCACCGGCUAACUACGUGCCAGCAGCCGCGGUAAUACGUAGGGUGCGAGCGUUAAUCGGAAUUACUGGGCGUAAAGCGUGCGCAGGCGGUUCGUUAUGUCCGAUGUGAAAGCCCCGAGCUUAACUUGGGAAUGGCAUUGGAAACUGGCGGGCUGGAGUGCGGCAGAGGGGGGUGGAAUUCCACGUGUAGCAGUGAAAUGCGUAGAGAUGUGGAGGAACACCGAUGGCGAAGGCAGCCCCCUGGGCCGACACUGACGCUCAGGCACGAAAGCGUGGGGAGCAAACAGGAUUAGAUACCCUGGUAGUCCACGCCCUAAACGAUGUCAACUGGGUGUUGGGGAAGCGAUUCCUUGGUACCGUAGCUAACGCGUGAAGUUGACCGCCUGGGGAGUACGGCCGCAAGGUUAAAACUCAAAGGAAUUGACGGGGACCCGCACAAGCGGUGGAUGAUGUGGAUUAAUUCGAUGCACGCG